rnacentral:rRNA from 1 species
UUCCGGUUGAUCCUGCCGGAGGCCAUUGCUAUUGGAGUCCGAUUUAGCCAUGCUAGUUGUACGAGUUCAGACUCGUAGCAGAUAGCUCAGUAACACGUGGCCAAACUACCCCGUCGAGCGGACCAACCUCGGGAAACUGAGGCUAAUCCCGCAUACGACUCUCAGGCUGGAACUGCAGAGAGUUCGAAACGCUCCGGCGCGACAGGAUGUGGCUGCGGCCGAUUAGGUAGACGGUGGGGUAACGGCCCACCGUGCCAGUAUCGGUACGGGUUGUGAGAGCAAGAGCCCGGAGACGGUAUCUGAGACAAGAUACCGGGCCCUACGGGGCGCAGCAGGCGCGAAACCUUUACACUGCACGCCAGUGCGAUAAUGGGACUCCAAGUGCGAGGGCAUAGCGCCCUCGCUUUUCUGAACCGUAAGGUGGUUCAGGAACAAGUGCUGGGCAAGACCGGUGCCAGCCGCCGCGGUAAUACCGGCAGCACGAGUGAUGGCCGCUGUUAUUGGGCCUAAAGCGUCCGUAGCUGGCCAGGCAAGUCUAUCGGGAAAUCUCCCCGCUCAACGGGGAGGCGUCCGGUGGAAACUGCCUGGCUUGGGACCGGAAGAUCCAGAGGGUACGUCCGGGGUAGGAGUGAAAUCCCGUAAUCCUGGACGGACCACCGGUGGCGAAAGCGCUCUAGAAAGACGGAUCCGACGGUGAGGGACGAAAGCUCGGGUCACGAACCGGAUUAGAUACCCGGGUAGUCCGAGCUGUAAACGAUGUCUGCUAGGUGCGCCACAGGCUACGAGCCUGUGGUGUGCCGUAGGGAAGCCGUGAAGCAGACCGCCUGGGAAGUACGUCCGCAAGGAUGAAACUUAAAGGAAUUGGCGGGGGAGCACUACAACCGGAGGAGCCUGCGGUUUAAUUGGAUUCAACGCCGGA